GCCGAGGUAGCUUAGCCCGGGAGUAUCACCAUUUUAUAAUGGUAUCAAAUCCCGUUAGCGCUGGACUGAAGAUCCAGUUGUCGUGCGUUCAAAUCGCACCCUCGGCA
rnacentral:tRNA from 1 species